UACGUAGGGUGCGAGCGUUAAUCGGAAUUACUGGGCGUAAAGGGUGCGCAGGCGGUUUUGUAAGCCAGGUGUGAAAUCCCCGGGCUUAACCUGGGAAUGGCAUUUGGGACUGCAAGGCUGGAGUGCGGCAGAGGAGACUGGAAUUCCUGGUGUAGCAGUGAAAUGCGUAGAUAUCAGGAGGAAUACCGAUGGCGAAGGCAGGUCUCUGGGCUGACACUGACGCUCAUGCACGAAAGCGUGGGGAGCAAACAGG
rnacentral:rRNA from 1 species